rnacentral:rRNA from 1 species
AGCCCAGAGCCUGAAUCAGUGUGUGUGUUAGUGGAAGCGUCUGGAAAGGCGCGCGAUACAGGGUGACAGCCCCGUACACAAAAAUGCACAUACUGUGAGCUCGAUGAGUAGGGCGGGACACGUGGUAUCCUGUCUGAAUAUGGGGGGACCAUCCUCCAAGGCUAAAUACUCCUGACUGACCGAUAGUGAACCAGUACCGUGAGGGAAAGGCGAAAAGAACCCCGGCGAGGGGAGUGAAAAAGAACCUGAAACCGUGUACGUACAAGCAGUGGGAGCCUCUUAAUGGGGUGACUGCGUACCUUUUGUAUAAUGGGUCAGCGACUUAUAUUCUGUAGCAAGGUUAACCGAAUAGGGGAGCCGAAGGGAAACCGAGUCUUAACUGGGCGUUAAGUUGCAGGGUAUAGACCCGAAACCCGGUGAUCUAGCCAUGGGCAGGUUGAAGGUUGGGUAACACUAACUGGAGGACCGAACCGACUAAUGUUGAAAAAUUAGCGGAUGACUUGUGGCUGGGGGUGAAAGGCCAAUCAAACCGGGAGAUAGCUGGUUCUCCCCGAAAGCUAUUUAGGUAGCGCCUCGUGAAUUCAUCUCCGGGGGUAGAGCACUGUUUCGGCAAGGGGGUCAUCCCGACUUACCAACCCGAUGCAAACUGCGAAUACCGGAGAAUGUUAUCACGGGAGACACACGGCGGGUGCUAACGUCCGUCGUGAAGAGGGAAACAACCCAGACCGCCAGCUAAGGUCCCAAAGUCAUGGUUAAGUGGGAAACGAUGUGGGAAGGCCCAGACAGCCAGGAUGUUGGCUUAGAAGCAGCCAUCAUUUAAAGAAAGCGUAAUAGCUCACUGGUCGAGUCGGCCUGCGCGGAAGAUGUAACGGGGCUAAACCAUGCACCGAAGCUGCGGCAGCGACACUAUGUGUUGUUGGGUAGGGGAGCGUUCUGUAAGCCUGUGAAGGUGUACUGUGAGGUAUGCUGGAGGUAUCAGAAGUGCGAAUGCUGACAUAAGUAACGAUAAAGCGGGUGAAAAGCCCGCUCGCCGGAAGACCAAGGGUUCCUGUCCAACGUUAAUCGGGGCAGGGUGAGUCGACCCCUAAGGCGAGGCCGAAAGGCGUAGUCGAUGGGAAACAGGUUAAUAUUCCUGUACUUGGUGUUACUGCGAAGGGGGGACGGAGAAGGCUAUGUUGGCCGGGCGACGGUUGUCCCGGUUUAAGCGUGUAGGCUGGUUUUCCAGGCAAAUCCGGAAAAUCAAGGCUGAGGCGUGAUGACGAGGCACUACGGUGCUGAAGCAACAAAUGCCCUGCUUCCAGGAAAAGCCUCUAAGCAUCAGGUAACAUCAAAUCGUACCCCAAACCGACACAGGUGGUCAGGUAGAGAAUACCAAGGCGCUUGAGAGAACUCGGGUGAAGGAACUAGGCAAAAUGGUGCCGUAACUUCGGGAGAAGGCACGCUGAUAUGUAGGUGAAGUCCCUCGCGGAUGGAGCUGAAAUCAGUCGAAGAUACCAGCUGGCUGCAACUGUUUAUUAAAAACACAGCACUGUGCAAACACGAAAGUGGACGUAUACGGUGUGACGCCUGCCCGGUGCCGGAAGGUUAAUUGAUGGGGUUAGCGGUAACGCGAAGCUCUUGAUCGAAGCCCCGGUAAACGGCGGCCGUAACUAUAACGGUCCUAAGGUAGCGAAAUUCCUUGUCGGGUAAGUUCCGACCUGCACGAAUGGCGUAAUGAUGGCCAGGCUGUCUCCACCCGAGACUCAGUGAAAUUGAACUCGCUGUGAAGAUGCAGUGUACCCGCGGCAAGACGGAAAGACCCCGUGAACCUUUACUAUAGCUUGACACUGAACAUUGAGCCUUGAUGUGUAGGAUAGGUGGGAGGCUUUGAAGUGUGGACGCCAGUCUGCAUGGAGCCGACCUUGAAAUACCACCCUUUAAUGUUUGAUGUUCUAACGUUGGCCCCUUACCGGGGUUGCGGACAGUGUCUGGUGGGUAGUUUGACUGGGGCGGUCUCCUCCUAAAGAGUAACGGAGGAGCACGAAGGUUGGCUAAUCCUGGUCGGACAUCAGGAGGUUAGUGCAAUGGCAUAAGCCAGCUUGACUGCGAGCGUGACGGCGCGAGCAGGUGCGAAAGCAGGUCAUAGUGAUCCGGUGGUUCUGAAUGGAAGGGCCAUCGCUCAACGGAUAAAAGGUACUCCGGGGAUAACAGGCUGAUACCGCCCAAGAGUUCAUAUCGACGGCGGUGUUUGGCACCUCGAUGUCGGCUCAUCACAUCCUGGGGCUGAAGUAGGUCCCAAGGGUAUGGCUGUUCGCCAUUUAAAGUGGUACGCGAGCUGGGUUUAGAACGUCGUGAGACAGUUCGGUCCCUAUCUGCCGUGGGCGCUGGAGAACUGAGGGGGGCUGCUCCUAGUACGAGAGGACCGGAGUGGACGCAUCACUGGUGUUCGGGUUGUCAUGCCAAUGGCACUGCCCGGUAGCUAAAUGCGGAAGAGAUAAGUGCUGAAAGCAUCUAAGCACGAAACUUGCCCCGAGAUGAGUUCUCCCUGACUC